AUUGAUGAAACAGGUGAGGUGAAACCAAACCGACAGCAGGCAGAGUGAAGCAGGAGGCCCGGUGGAACAGCGGCCUGUGCGAUAAAGCAGAUGAUGACAGGUGGAGACGGAUGUUUGCCUCGGGGGAAACGCGUUGAAUGCCAGACCCGGCCUGUCGAUGACUUCAUUUCCCCUCCUUUACCUGGGUCGCGCUGCCUCACUCAGCAGAAAACAAAGCGACUCCGUUAGACCCCACAGGAUGCUGGGAUUACUCUACAGAACCCUCCACUAGGCUCCCUGCCUGACUGAUAAGACAAUAUAAAGACUGUGGAACUGA